GUUGCUUUACACUACAGUCUACCUACUUUGUUGAAUUGUUCUUUUAUCUUGGUUAGAUAGUAGUUAAUUUAAAGUCAAUCAGUACAACUGGCUAUGAAGAAAAUGGCGUAGGUCGCUGCAGUACGCGAAAGAUUCAUAUCUUCAAACCACCCAUUCAGUUAACGGAUUAGGACAGUUAUUCGAAUAUAGUUAGUUGCACUUCAGUAUAGCAACAAACGAAUAACAAUCUACUUAUUUGUCAUCUUUGGGUACUGCAUGUAGAAGACGCUGAAUCAUUCGAAGUGAAAUAGGUACAGUUAUUCGACCGACUGCUCCGAACUACAAAGCAACUCUUGGACCUCAUCACCUUUUCGCCACAGCUCGACAUAAUCCCCGAACAUAUAGAUAAGAAUGAAAAAGAUCACCUUCAAUUUUCAACCACACGUCCACACAAGUUAUAAAGCCAACCAAUGAAGGUUCUUUCACAUGGGAUGUCUCACUCACCCUAAUUUUUGCGCCAGAUGAUCCACAGAAUCUUUCAAUUGCAUUUUGUGAUGUUUUUGUCGUCCCAAACAGCAGGGCUUGCUCGUCCCGGAGUAUUUGAAUCUUUAAAUUCUGAUGACAUUCUCCUAAUUUCAGUAUAUUGGACUUCAUUUUCACCUUCUUUUCAUCUUAAUUGAUCUUUCAUUUUGAUAAAGCACUGACUGACUGCUG